rnacentral:misc_RNA from 1 species
AAGUCGUAACAAGGUUUCCGUAGGUGAACCUGCGGAAGGAUCAUUACGAGAAUCGAGGCUGACGGUGCCUGCCGGGGCUUUGUGCGCCCGUGCUAGGUUGCGUCCGGCCCCGCUCCUUACCUUGCCUACUGCACCGUUCGUUGCUUCCUGGCGGUGGGACACCGCCGCCAGGGACCUUCUAAAAGUCUUGUAUGGAAGCAUUGAAACCCCUGAUAUACACUAAAUCGUACAACUUUCAACAAUGGAUCUCUUGGUUCUG